UCAUAGCAACACCGGGUGGCUAACAAGGUAGUUUCAUUUAGAAAAAAAAAAAAAUGUCACAGUUUUAUUUUUUUUAAAGCAGAAAUUGGUUAAAAAGUUAUAAACACGUCUAGGAUCAGGUGGUGUAAUCUACAACAUGUCUAGGAUCAGGUGAUGUAAUCUACACCAUCAACAUGUCUAGGAUCAGGUGGUGUAAUCUACACCAUCAACAUGUCUAGGAUCAGGUGAUGUAAUCUACACCAUGUCUAGGAUCAGGUGGUGUAAUCUACACCAUGUCUAGGAUCAGGUGAUGUAAUCUACACCAUGUCUAGGAUCAGGUGAUGUAAUCUACACCAUCAACAUGUCUAGGAUCAGGUGAUGUAAUCUACACCAUGUCUAGGAUCAGGUGAUGUAAUCUACACCAUGUCUAGGAUCAGGUGAUGUAAUCUACAACAUGUCUAGGAUCAGGUGGUGUAAUCUACAACAUGUCUAGGAUCAGGUGGUGUAAUCUACACCAUCAACAUGUCUA